UACGGGGGGGGUAAGCGUUGUUCGGAAUUACUGGGCGUAAAGGGCUCGUAGGCGGCCAACUAAGUCAUACGUGAAAUCCCUCAGCUUAACUGGGGAACUGUGUGUGAUACUGGAUGGCUUGGAUUUGGGAGAGGGAUGCGGAAUUCCAGGUGUAGCGGUGAAAUGCGUAGAUAUCUGGAGGAACACCGGUGGCGAAGGCGGCAUCCUGGACCAAUAUUGACGCUGGAGGAGCGAAAGCCAGGGGAGCAAACGGG
rnacentral:rRNA from 1 species